CUUGUAGCUCAGCUGGUUAGAGCGCACCCCUGAUAAGGGUGAGGUCGGCAGUUCAAGUCUGGCCCAAGCCUACCA
rnacentral:tRNA from 1 species